rnacentral:rRNA from 1 species
GGUGAAAAGCACCCCGGAAGGGGAGUGAAAUAGAACCUGAAACCGUGUGCUUACAAGUAGUCAGAGCCCGUUAAUGGGUGAUGGCGUGCCUUUUGUAGAAUGAACCGGCGAGUUACGAUUUGAUGCAAGGUUAAGCAGUAAAUGUGGAGCCGUAGCGAAAGCGAGUCUGAAUAGGGCGUUUAGUAUUUGGUCGUAGACCCGAAACCAGGUGAUCUACCCUUGGUCAGGUUGAAGUUCAGGUAACACUGAAUGGAGGACCGAACCGACUUACGUUGAAAAGUGAGCGGAUGAACUGAGGGUAGCGGAGAAAUUCCAAUCGAACCUGGAGAUAGCUGGUUCUCUCCGAAAU